GUGGGGAAUUUUCCGCAAUGGGGGAAACCCUGACGGAGCAACGCCGCGUGGAGGAUGAAGGCCCUCGGGUCGUAAACUCCUGUCGAUCGGGAAGAAUGCGUCCGACCCAAUACGUCGGCACGUUGACUGUACCGGUGGAGGAAGCCACGGCUAACUCUGUGCCAGCAGCCGCGGUAAGACAGAGGUGGCAAGCGUUGUUCGGAAUUACUGGGCGUAAAGCGCGCGCAGGCGGUUCGUCAAGUCCCGUGUGAAAUCCCCCGGCUCAACUGGGGAACUGCGCGGGAAACUAGCGAGCUUGAGUUCGGGAGAGGGAAGCGGAAUUCCGGGUGUAGCGGUGAAAUGCGCAGAUAUCCGGAGGAACACCAGUGGCGAAGGCGGCUUCCUGGACCGACACUGACGCUGAGGCGCGAAAGCUAGGGGAGCGAACGGG
rnacentral:rRNA from 1 species